GCAAUGCCGAAAGCAGGCGGUGCAGCGUAUCGAUGGUGGAAACGUCGGCGAUGCCGUCUACUCGCGAUUGUCGGAAAUGGCGCUGAAACGCGGCGACCACGCCUUCGGUUCUCGCGCAAAAAUCACCAG
rnacentral:sRNA from 1 species